rnacentral:misc_RNA from 1 species
GAUGAAGAACGUAGCGAAAUGCGAUACUUGGUGUGAAUUGCAGAAUCCCGUGAACCAUCGAGUCUUUGAACGCAAGUUGCGCCUCAAGCCAUUAGGUUGAGGGCACGUCUGCCUGGGCGUCACAUAUCGUUGCCUGAUGCCAGUUUCCUCGUGAUGGGUGACUGUGCAGGCGAAUGAUGGCUUCCCGUGAGCAUUUUUGCCUCAUGGUUGGUUGAAAAUUGAGUCCUUGGUAGGGAGCGCCGUGAUAGAUGGUGGUUGAGUGACGAACGAGACCCAAUCAUGUGAGACCCCUACCGAAUUUGGCCUUCAUGACCCACAUGCGUCUUUGGAACGCUCAUGACGAGACCUCAGGUCAGGCGGGGCUACCCGCUGAGUUUAAGCAUAUCAAUAAGCGGAGGA